rnacentral:rRNA from 1 species
CGGGUGAGUAACACGUGGGCAACCUGCCUCAUAGAGGGGAAUAGCCUUCCGAAAGGGAGAUUAAUACCGCAUAAGAUUGUAGUAUCGCAUGAUACAGCAAUUAAAGGAGCAAUCCGCUAUGAGAUGGGCCCGCGGCGCAUUAGCUAGUUGGUGAGGUAACGGCUCACCAAGGCGACGAUGCGUAGCCGACCUGAGAGGGUGAUCGGCCACAUUGGGACUGAGACACGGCCCAGACUCCUACGGGAGGCAGCAGUGGGGAAUAUUGCACAAUGGGGGAAACCCUGAUGCAGCAACGCCGCGUGAGUGAUGACGGCCUUCGGGUUGUAAAGCUCUGUCUUCAGGGACGAUAAUGACGGUACCUGAGGAGGAAGCCACGGCUAACUACGUGCCAGCAGCCGCGGUAAUACGUAGGUGGCGAGCGUUGUCCGGAUUUACUGGGCGUAAAGGGAGCGUAGGCGGAUUUUUAAGUGAGAUGUGAAAUACUCGGGCUUAACCUGAGUGCUGCAUUUCAAACUGGAAGUCUAGAGUGCAGGAGAGGAGAAGGGAAUUCCUAGUGUAGCGGUGAAAUGCGUAGAGAUUAGGAAGAACACCAGUGGCGAAGGCGCUUCUCUGGACUGUAACUGACGCUGAGGCUCGAAA